CAGCUGUUCACAUGCUCAGCAUGAACAAAAUGUCUUCACGUCUGAAUCAGACCGAACAAAUCAGCUCCAUAGUUUCAUACGUCCUCCAGAGCUGAGGAGACACAAAACACCGAAAACAAUCUGAGAUUAGGAAACUAAAAUUUCAAAUUCAAGAAGAGAAAAUCCCAUAUUUUUUUUGAUGGACUUUGGUUCAUAUCAUCUUUCUGUUUCCCCCCAAAAAAGCCCCCAAACUUUUGCUACAAUCUGGGAUAAAAAAAAAACAAGCAAAAAUGAAAAUAUUUUUUCUUUUAAAAUUACAGUUGUUAUGUCAUUUGUUCUGUCUUUAUAUUAAUCUUUUGUUUGGCUCACGUUACUCCCUGUAAUCUGAUCUGUUUUGACCUUAAAAUGAGUGUUUUGUGCAGAUGAGACUGACUGAAAUGAUCAAUGCCAAUAUUCAACAAGUUAAAACAAAUAAUCUACCUUUUUUAAAUGGAGUUUGGUUCAGAUCAUGAACCAUCAGUGUCCCUCUGAACUUCUUGAUGAUUUUAAUGUCCCAGAAUACAAAACCAAAAAAUGUUUUUCUACAAUCUGUGAUAUAAAAAAAUUGUUUUCCUUUAAAAUUAUAUUGUUUAGUUUUGCAAAAAUAAAGUCAUUUGUUCCAUCUUC